GACGAACCGUGCGAACGUUGUUCGGAAUCACUGGGCUUAAAGGGCGCGUAGGUGCGGCUGUCAAGUCUGGGGUGAAAUGCCGCGGCUCAACCGUGGAACUGCCUUAGAUACUGACGGCCUCGAGGGAGGUAGGGGCGUGCGGAACUGUAGGUGGAGCGGUGAAAUGCGUUGAUAUCUACAGGAACUCCGGUGGCGAAAGCGGCGCGCUGGACCUCUUCUGACGCUGAGGCGCGAAAGCUAGGGGAGCAAACGGG
rnacentral:rRNA from 1 species